rnacentral:rRNA from 1 species
ACUCCUACGGGAGGCAGCAGUAGGGAAUCUUCCACAAUGGGCGCAAGCCUGAUGGAGCAACACCGCGUGAGUGAAGAAGGGUUUCGGCUCGUAAAGCUCUGUUGUUAAAGAAGAACACGUAUGAGAGUAACUGUUCAUACGUUGACGGUAUUUAACCAGAAAGUCACGGCUAACUACGUGCCAGCAGCCGCGGUAAUACGUAGGUGGCAAGCGUUAUCCGGAUUUAUUGGGCGUAAAGAGAGUGCAGGCGGUUUUCUAAGUCUGAUGUGAAAGCCUUCGGCUUAACCGGAGAAGUGCAUCGGAAACUGGAUAACUUGAGUGCAGAGGAGGGUAGUGGAACUCCAUGUGUAGCGGUGGAAUGCGUAGAUAUAUGGAAGAACACCAGUGGCGAAGGCGGCUACCUGGUCUGCAACUGACGCUGAGACUCGAAAGCAUGGGUAGCGAACAGGAUUAGAUACCCCUGGUAGGAUAGCG